rnacentral:rRNA from 1 species
UACGUAGGGUGCAAGCGUUGUCCGGAAUUAUUGGGCGUAAAGAGCUCGUAGGCGGUUUGUUGCGUCGGCUGUGAAAUCCCGAGGCUCAACCUCGGGUCUGCAGUCGAUACGAGCAAACUAGAGUGUUGCAGGGGAGACUGGAAUUCCUGGUGUAGCGGUGAAAUUCGUAGAUAUCGGGAGGAACACCAGUGGCGAAGGCGGCGAUCUGGGAAGAUACUGACGCUGAGGUGCGAAAGCGUGGGGAGCAAACAGG